ACGGAGGGUGCAAGCGUUAAUCGGAAUUACUGGGCGUAAAGCGCACGCAGGCGGUUUGUUAAGUCAGAUGUGAAAUCCCCGGGCUCAACCUGGGAACUGCAUCUGAUACUGGCAAGCUUGAGUCUCGUAGAGGGGGGUAGAAUUCCAGGUGGAGCGGGGAGAUGCGUAGAGAUCUGGAGGAAAUCCGGUGGGGAAGGCGGCCCCCUGGAAGAAAGCUGGAGGUCCGGUGGGGAAGCGUGGGGAACAAACAG
rnacentral:rRNA from 1 species